rnacentral:rRNA from 1 species
AUGGAGAUGCAGGCGAAGGCAGCGAGGGGCGGGAAGAGGAGCAGGACGAGCGGCGGCACGACCACGACGAGGGUGGUGGAGAGGAAGGAGGCGGAGAGGGAGAGGAGGCAGCACAUGAAGGCGCUCUGCGCCAAGCUCACCUCCCUCAUCCCAAAAGAGCACUUCUCCAACCCUGAUACGAUGACCCAGCUAGGCAGCCUGGAUGAGGCUGCGUCAUACAUCAAGAAGCUCAAAGAGAGGGUGGACGAGCUGCAACAUAGGAGGAACUCUGCACAAGCAAUGGCUGCCGCAAGAGGGGCUAGUGGUGCCUCAACGCCCACCACCACCCCUACCACGAGUGGUGGUGCGGGGUCACCAGAAGGAGAGAAACAUUGGGAGGCAUUGGCACCGGUGGUGGAGGUGCAACAACACGAUGAUACAAGCAUGGAUGUGGUGCUGGUAUGCAGCACAGAGAGGCCGAUCAUGCUCCACCAGGUGAUCACCAUCCUCGAGGAAGAAGGCGCCGAGGUCGUCAAUGCCAAUCACUCCGUUGUUGGCCACAAAAUCUUCUACACCAUACACUCCAGGGCCUUCAGCUCGAGAAUUGGCAUAGAUGUUUCAAGUGUUUCUGAAAGACUGAGAGCAUUGGUAUGA